rnacentral:rRNA from 1 species
GACGAACGCUGGCGGCGUGCCUAAUACAUGCAAGUUGAGCGCUGACGGAUGGAACUUGUACUCACAGGAUGAGCAGCGAACGGGCGAGUAACGCGUGGGGAAUCUGCUUUUGAGCGGGGGAGAAUAUUUGGAAACGACUGAUACUAAUGCAUAAAACCUUCAAACACAAGUAUUAAGUUUGAAUGAUGCAAUUGCCUCAUGCAAAGACGAUUGUGCGUUGUAUUAGCUGGCUGGUGAGGUAAAGGCUCACCAAGGCGAUGAUACAUAGUCGGACUGAGAGGGUGGACGACCACAAUGGGACUGGGACAAGGCCCAAACCCCUACGGGAGGCAGCAGUAGGGGAACUUCGGAAAUGGACGAAAGUCUGACCGAGCAACGCCGCGGUGGGUAAGAAGGUUUUCGGAGCGGAAAACUCUGUUGGUAGAGAAAGACAUUGAGGAGAGUAAAAAGCUCAUCAAGUGACGGUAACUACCCAGAAAGCAACGGCUAACUACGUG